rnacentral:rRNA from 1 species
CCUACGGGUGGCUGCAGUGAGGAAUAUUGGUCAAUGGCCGUAAGGCUGAACCAGCCAAGUCGCGUGAAGGAAGAAGGCUCUAUGGUUUGUAAACUUCUUUUAUAGGGGAAUAAAGGUAUCCACGUGUGGAUAUUUGCAUGUACCCUAUGAAUAAGCAUCGGCUAACUCCGUGCCAGCAGCCGCGGUAAUACGGAGGAUGCGAGCGUUUUCCGGAUUUAUUGGGUUUAAAGGGUGCGUAGGUUGUUUUUUAAGUCAGCGGUGAAAGUUUGUGGCUCAACCGCGCCCCGCAGUUGAAACUGGACGCCUGGAGUUCAGAACAGGCAGGCGGAAUUCGUGGUGUAGCGGUGAAAUGCAUAGAUAUCACGAGGAACCCCGAUUGCGAAGGCAGCCUGCCGGGGUGCGACUGACGCUGAGGCUCGAAGGUGCGGGUAUCAAACAGGAUUAGAUACCCGAGUAGUC